UACGAAGGGGGCUAGCGUUGUUCGGAAUUACUGGGCGUAAAGCGCGCGUAGGCGGAUUUGUAAGUCAGGGGUGAAAUGCCAGGGCUUAACCUUGGAACUGCCUUUGAUACUGCAGGUCUGGAGUACGGGAGAGGUGAGUGGAAUUCCGAGUGUAGAGGUGAAAUUCGUAGAUAUUCGGAGGAACACCAGAAGCGAAGGCGGCUCACUGGCCCGAUACUGACGCUGAGGCGCGAAAGCGUGGGGAGCAAACAGG
rnacentral:rRNA from 1 species